rnacentral:rRNA from 1 species
UAACCGGAUUAGAUACCCUGGUAGUCCACGCCGUAAACGAUGUCAACUAGCCGUUGGGAGCCUUGAGCUCUUAGUGGCGCAGCUAACGCAUUAAGUUGACCGCCUGGGGAGUACGGCCGCAAGGUUAAAACUCAAAUGAAUUGACGGGGGCCCGCACAAGGGGUGGAGCAUGUGGUUUAAUUCGAAGCAACGCGAAGAACCUUACCAGGCCUUGACAUCCAAUGAACUUUCUAGAGAUAGAUUGGUGCCUUCGGGAACAUUGAGACAGGUGCUGCAUGGCUGUCGUCAGCUCGUGUCGUGAGAUGUUGGGUUAAGUCCCGUAACGAGCGCAACCCUUGUCCUUAGUUACCAGCACGUAAUGGUGGGCACUCUAAGGAGACUGCCGGUGACAAACCGGAGGAAGGUGGGGAUGACGUA